GACGAACGCUGGCGGCGUGCCUAAUACAUGCAAGUCGAGCGCAGGAAAUCGACGGAACCCUUCGGGGGGAAGUCGAUGGAAUGAGCGGCGGACGGGUGAGUAACACGUAAAGAACCUGCCCUCAGGUCUGGGAUAACCACGAGAAAUCGGGGCUAAUACCGGAUGGGUCAUCGGACCGCAUGGUCCGAGGAUGAAAGGCGCUUCGGCGUCGCCUGGGGAUGGCUUUGCGGUGCAUUAGCUAGUUGGUGGGGUAAGGGCCCACCAAGGCGGCGAUGCAUAGCCGACCUGAGAGGGUGAUCGGCCACACUGGGACUGAGACACGGCCCAGACUCCUACGGGAGGCAGCAGUAGGGAAUCUUCCACAAUGGACGAAAGUCUGAUGGAGCAACGCCGCGUGAACGAUGAAGGCCUUCGGGUCGUAAAGUUCUGUUGUAAGGGAAGAACAAGUGCCGCAGGCAAUGGCGGCACCUUGACGGUACCUUGCGAGAAAGCCACGGCUAACUACGUGCCAGCCGCCGCCGUAACAC
rnacentral:rRNA from 1 species